rnacentral:rRNA from 1 species
AACGCGAAGAACCUUACCUGGGCUCGAAAUGCAGAGGGAGAUACCAGAGAUGGUAUCGUCCGCAAGGACUUCUGUAUAGGUGCUGCAUGGCUGUCGUCAGCUCGUGCCGUGAGGUGUUUGGUUAAGUCCAGCAACGAGCGCAACCCUUAUCAUUAGUUGCCAACACGUAAGGUGGGGACUCUAAUGAGACUGCCUAGGUUAACUAGGAGGAAGGCGAGGAUGACGUCAAGUCCGCAUGGCCUUUAUGUCCAGGGCUACACACGUGCUACAAUGGUCGGUACAGAGGGCUGCAAGACCGUAAGGUGGAGCAAAUCCCAGAAAGCCGAUCUCAGUUCAGAUUGUGGACUGCAACUCGUCCACAUGAAGUUGGAAUUGCUAGUAAUGGCGCGUCAGCAACAGCGCCGUGAAUACGUUCCCGGGCCUUGUA